AGAGUUGAUCAUGGCUCAGGAUGAACGCUAGCUACAGGCUUAACACAUGCAAGUCGAGGGCAGCAGAUCGAAAGCUGUCUUUGAUGCUGGCGACCGGCGCGACGGGUGAGUAACGCGUAUCCAACCUUCCCUAUAGUAGAGAAUAGCCCGGCGAAAGUCGGAUUAAUGCUCUAUGUUGUAUUUAGAAGACAUCUGAAGAAUACCAAAAGGUUUACCGCUAUAGGAUGGGGAUGCGUCUGAUUAGGUUGUUGGCGGGGUAACGGCCCACCAAGCCCACGAUCAGUAGGGGUUCUGAGAGGAAGGUCCCCCACAUUGGAACUGAGACACGGUCCAAACUCCUACGGGAGGCAGCAGUGAGGAAUAUUGGUCAAUGGACGGAAGUCUGAACCAGCCAAGUAAGCGUGCAGGAUGACCGGCCCUAUGGGUUGUAAACUGUCUUUUAUACAGGGAUAAAGUGAGGGACGUGUCCCUUUUUGUAGGUACUGUAUGAAUAAGGACCGGCUAAUUCCGUGCCAGCCGCCGC
rnacentral:rRNA from 1 species